ensembl:snoRNA SNORA62 Small nucleolar RNA SNORA62/SNORA6 family
AGAGGACAUAGUUAGAGCUUGGAGUUUAGGCCACUUUGGCCGUGAACUCACAAGGGUAGGUGGUGUGCUACAUGCUAACCCCACAAGGGUCUCUGGCCCAGUGAUGGAGUUUGACAGUAAUCCUUGCUACAAGU